CUCUCCUUCCGGGUCCUCACUUCCCCGAUUGCCGAUUGGGUGAAACCCUAGCCACCACUCCCCGUGGCGCCCCUCUCCUCCACUCCCCAUCGCGCCCCCUCUCCUCCAAUCCCCGCAGCCGACGACGAGGUCUCGCCCUUCGCCGAGCUUGCCACCACCGCUGCUCUCCCCUCGCCAUCGCCGGGAGGAGUGUGUAGGCCGCCGCUCGCGUCGUUUCUCCGCAGCCGCCACCGCCCCCUUCCCUUCCAAGCCCGCGGAGAUGACGGCGCCGGCGCUGGCGCUCGCGGUGGUCGGGUACUGGGACUGAGUCGCCGCCGCCACAUCAUCUUCUCCUCCUCCCCAACACCGCAUGAGUGCGGGUCGCCGUCGCACCAGAUGAGGUGGGGCUACAACCACGCCCCCUUCACCUCUUCUACCCAGCCGUGCCACUCGGGACGACAAGAUCCAGCCAUGGCGGCCGAGAUCCAGUUGGCUGCCAUCGAUAUGAGGAGCGCUCGCGCCGCUGCUCCGCCGUUCGUCGUCCACUUGGCCGCAACCAUGCACAAGAAGAGGUGAUGUCACGGCAGCAGGGUCCUCACCUGUCUCCGCUCCCUCGUCUCCCCCUUCUGCUGGCAAGGGUGCUGAGCAGCAACAGUUCCAUCUCCCUCCCCAACGCGUCAUUGCCUCAUCUUGAGCUGCAAUGAACCAGAGCCCAGAGAAAGAGAUUUGAUGUGAUGAUUGAGGUAGAAGGCAUGGAUUGUUUGGGGCUUCUCUGAAAUAAGCGUCUCUAAUGCAGGAAAACAACAUGAAUGAGUUUAAGAGAUUUAAUGAAGAGAUGAAUACAGUCGGAGCCUGGGAUUUUUAUACACAGAGAUGGUGCAUAAAUAAGCAAAACAAAAAAUGCGCCAAUGCUUUGCCAGAAUUUCGUUGGUCCUCUCAAAAUUGUGGGGAAACCAAGAUUGAAUUUAGAGAUGUUUCAUAUGCUUGGCCGUUGACACACCUCUCUUCAAGGCAAGGUCAUUUCCAAGGUGAUUACAGCGCUAGGACCUGCCCCUGAUAAGAACCAGGGCACCCGUUUAAACAGAAUGAUGACUGUGUGAGGCUUAAAAUAUCGCCAUCAUAGCAGGGGUGAUGCUGUCACUUCCAUGGUCCACCAGAAUGAAGAUCGCACUCAGUGCUGCAAGGGGGCUUGCCUUCCUGCACGAAGCUGAGAAGCCAGUUGUCUACAUGGAUUCAAGACAUCCAACAUAUUGCUCGACGAGGAAAACAACAUGAAUGAGAUUAAGAGAUUUAAUGAAGAGAUAUGCCAGGAUGAGGCGGAGUUGAUGAAAGGCUUUGUAAAAGUCAGAUAAUUGGUUGAACUUCUUUUGGAAGAGGCAGCAGGAAGCAUAGAAGACAUGGUGCCAUGGAGAUUCAAAGUACGGAAAGAUGGAAGAGUGUCCCGGACAAAAGGACCAAGUUUUGGCGGGUGGGCAUCGGGAGUCCAGUUGGUUGGCUUCAGCCUUUGAGGUGUUGUCGGCUAGCGGCGCCGCUUCUGAGUGUCUCCUCAACUCACUUCCGUGGCACCUUUAGCCGCUUAAAAUCACAAUCAAAGAGUUAAGUUUUUACUUAAUUUUCAUAAACAACUAUAUAUGGCUUAAGAAAGGUGAAGAGCAAGGCCAAUCAGGAUUUAUGUAUGGUUGGUUUCUUGAUCCAGGAUUGUUAACAAGGUUUAAUAAAGGCAAGUUGGUUUUACCAAGCGAGACAGAUAAAUUUAUUAAUACUUGCAAUAUACGUCUCACAGAUUAUUUGCAUCAGGUUCGUGUAAAGUGCCACCUGUGAAGUUGAUUGACAAGGCAGUUGAAUGAAGCCACUUAUUAGCACCUUGCUUGCUCUUCUUUCUUUUUGGAGCCAAAAGAUCCAUCAGCGCUCCACUGCUGGGCAAGGCUAUCUCGGUCAUCUUCCGUCUGAUACAUAGGUCAAACCAUGGCUCACACACUCUCUCGCCGAUAUUUCACUUCGCUCCCGUGAAUACAUUGUCUUCUACGCACGGCGGUGCUGCCUUGGAUCGGCCCUCCAUCGCGCCGCUUCAGUCGUCACCAUGCAUCUCAGCUCCAAUAACCAGGUCACGAUGGCUGAUGAUGAGGUCCAGGCUCCGCUGGCUCCACCAACAGCUGUCUGCGAGCACUUGCACAGGUCAGCUGAGAUGCGUCACGUCCCCUCUGGUUUAUCUAGACGGCUGCAAAAGUAUGGUCAGAAAUUAAAGAGGGGAGCCAAAUGAGAGCACGGCUUAGAAAUAGCCAGGGUAGUCCAAGGUCGAAUCUAGGAAAAUUUGACAAUGGAUUCAGUUAGUAUACAAAUAUGCACAUUGAAUUAAUAUAAUGGGCUAUUUCCCCAUGCCCGCACACACACUCGAGGGCUGGACGCGAGUACAUGAGCUAAUCAAUUCUAGGUCCGUUGUGUUGUCUUGGGGGUUGAUCAGAGUUUUGGAGGAUCAACAGAGUUUAGUAACGGAUAGCAGAGUUCUGCAAUGUCCGCACUUUCAGAAAGGGAGGGCGUGGUCCUGUUUCACCUCCUUCUCCUGUAUUGUGAUCUCAAUUGCUUUAAGCAGUUCCCCUGACUUUACUUUUUGUGUUCUUGGGUCCCGCAUAGAACAGUUCUUGACAGCCUCCUAGCACACCUUGGGCGCGCUAUUAGAUGGGCCUCUCCUAAUUCACAACUGCUCCUAUGCCUAUCAAGGUGAUUUCGUCUUGCUGUACAUGUAUUGCACUUCCAGGAUGCUUGAGUGCAGAAAUCAUUGUACUCCAUAUAUCUCACAAUUUGUUUGUAUCAGGUUCAUGUGAGGCAGAUGAAUUACGCCACAUGUUAGUAUGCUUAGUGAUUAUGGCUUUGUAGUUGGCUGUCCUUAUGUGUUCUCGCUUUUUGUAUUGAACUUUGUGUUGAAUGGCCGUAUUUUGCGGUUGGCUGAAUGCACCGAGCUUGAUCCUGUCUUA